rnacentral:pre_miRNA from 1 species
GGAGAAAUUAUCCUUGGUGUGUUCACUUUAUUUAGGAAGAAUCAUACAAGGACAAUUUCUUUUU